UACGUAGGGGGCAAGCGUUGUCCGGAUUUAUUGGGCGUAAAGAGCGUGUAGGCGGCUUGGUAGGUCCGCUGUGAAAACUCGAGGCUCAACCUCGAGAUGUCGGCGGAAACCACUUGGCUAGAGUCCGGAAGAGGAGAGUGGAAUUCCCGGUGUAGCGGUGAAAUGCGCAGAUAUCAGGAAGAACACCCGUGGAGAAGGCGGCUCUCUGGGACGGUACUGACGCUGAGACGCGAAAGCGUGGGGAGCGAACAGG
rnacentral:rRNA from 1 species